GGCCAGACUCCUACGGGAGGCAGCAGUGGGGGAUAUUGCACAAUGGGGGGAACCCUGAUGCAGCGACGCCGCGUGAGUGAAGAAGUAUUUCGGUAUGUAAAGCUCUAUCAGCAGGGAAGAAAAUGACGGUACCUGACUAAGAAGCCCCGGCUAACUACGUGCCAGCAGCCGCGGUAAUACGUAUGGAGCAAGCGUUAUCCGGAUUUACUGGGUGUAAAGGGAGCGUAGGCGGCCUGCCAAGUCUGAUGUGAAAUACCGGGGCUCAACCCCGGGGCUGCAUUGGAAACUGACAGGCUGGAGUGUCGGAGAGGCAGGCGGAAUUCCUAGUGUAGCGGUGAAAUGCGUAGAUAUCAGGAGGAACACCGGUGGCGAAGGCGGCCUGCUGGACUGCAACUGACGUUGAGGCCCGAAAGCGUGGGGAGCAAACAGGAUUAGAUACCCCGGUA
rnacentral:rRNA from 1 species